AAUGAACGCUGGCGGCGUGCUUAACACAUGCAAGUCGGAUGUGCCGCAAGGUGCAUGGCAGACGGGUGAGUAACGCGUGGGGAACCUACCUUCUUGUGGGGAAUAACGUUCCGAAAGGAGUGGUAAUACCGCAUGAGACCAUCGGCUGGGAUGCUGGUGGUGAAAGCCGGGGAUCGAAAGACCUGGCGCAAGGAGAGGGUCCUGCGUCUGAUUAGCUAGUUGGUGGGGUAAUGGCCUACCAAGGCGACGAUCAGUAGCCGGCCUGAGAGGGUGAUCGGCCACACUGGAACUGAGACACGGUCCAGACUCCUACGGGAGGCAGCAGUGGGGAAUUUUGCGCAAUGGACGAAAGUCUGACGCAGCAACGCCGCGUGGGUGAUGAAGGUCUUCGGAUCGUAAAACCCUGUCGUCAGGGACGAAGGGUUGGGGCCUAAUACGCCUUGACCUUGACGGUACCUGGAGAGGAAGCCCCGGCUAACUCUGUG
rnacentral:rRNA from 1 species